rnacentral:rRNA from 1 species
UUUAUUUUUGUUAAAAGUGACGGGCGAUAUGUGCAUGUCAAAUUUCUUAGUCAUUUUUUAUUCAUUUAUUUGAAAAAUUAUUAUUAAAUCCUUUUCAUUUUUUUAUUUCGUUCUUAUUAUUUUUAUAUUUAAAGCAUUCCACCUACUCUUAUUUAUAAUCUUUGUCUUGAUUUGUUUUACAAUCUUAUUUGAUUUUUAAGAGAAUUAUAACUUUUUUUUUUUCUUUAAAACAAUGAUAUGAAGAAUAAAAAAAUGAGUUGGGUUAAUCGUGGGUUAUCGAUCAUGUUGCAGAAUUCUCUAAUUAGUUUUAACACCGCCAUUUUAAUUAGAUUUCUUUUAUUUAAAUACUAUCUUUAUUUAAUAUAGAA